rnacentral:rRNA from 1 species
UACGGAGGGUGCGAGCGUUGUCCGGAAUCACUGGGCGUAAAGGGCGCGUAGGCGGCUGGGGAAGUCGGCGGUGAAAGCCCGGAGCUCAACUCCGGGUCGGCCGUCGAGACUCCUCGGCUCGAGCUCACUAGAGGCAGAUGGAAUUCCGGGUGUAGCGGUGGAAUGCGUAGAGAUGUGGAGGAACACCGAUGGCGAAGGCAGCCUCCUGGGCCAGCACUGACGCUCAUGCACGAAAGCGUGGGGAGCAAACAGG